GGAGUCUAGCAUGUGCGCGAGUCAUUGGGACAUGACUAAACCUAAAGGCGCAAUGAAAGUGAAGGUCCGCCUUGCGCGGACCGAGGGAGGAUGGGUGGCCGUUGCGGCUGUCACCCCGCACUCCCGGGGCGUCUCGUUCUCAUUGCGAGAAGAGGCGCACCAAGAGCGUACACGCUGGGACCCGAAAGAUGGUGAACUAUGCCUGGUCAGGACGAAGUCAGGGGAAACCCUGAUGGAGGUCCGUAGCGAUUCUGACGUGCAAAUCGAUCGUCGGAACUGGGUAUAGGGGCGAAAGACUAAUCGAACCAUCUAGUAGCUGGUUCCCUCCGAAGUUUCCCUCAGGAUAGCUGGCGCUCGUAGCGCACGAGUUUCAUCCGGUAAAGCGAAUGAUUAGAGGCAUUGGGGUCGAAACGGCCUCAACCUAUUCUCAAACUUUAAAUGGGUGAGAUCUCCGGCUUGCUCGAACUAUUGAAGCCGCGAGACUCGAAUCAGAGUGCCAAGUGGGCCAUUUUUGGUAAGCAGAACUGGCGCUGUGGGAUGAACCAAACGCCGAGUUAAAGCGCCUAAAUCGACGCUUAUGGGAUACCAUGAAAGGCGUUGGUAACUUAAGACAUCAGGACGGUGGCCAUGGAAGUC
rnacentral:rRNA from 1 species